rnacentral:rRNA from 1 species
UACAGAGGGGCAAGCGUUGUUCGGAUUCAUUGGGCGUAAAGGGUGCGUAGGCGGCGCGGUAAGUCGGGUGUGAAAUCUUGGAGCUUAACUCCGAAACUGCAUUCGAUACUGCCGUGCUUGAGGACUGGAGAGGAGACUGGAAUUUACGGUGUAGCGGUGAAAUGCGUAGAUAUCGUAAGGAAGACCAGUGGCGAAGGCGGGGUCUCUGGACAGUUCCUGACGCUGAGGCACGAAGGUCCAGGGGAGCAAACGGGA